GAAUAAUGGCCCAAGGUUCUGCUUUUAUAGGGGUAGGUAGUGUACUCCUAGUAGGAUUGUGCUGAUUGGAUGUUUUUAUCCAAGGGAAUUUCUAUUUAGAAAGAGUGUCCUACUUGUAAUGGAAUUGUUUGACAAGUGGUAUAAGGGUUGAUGUAGAAUCCUUGGGUGUUUAGGUUUGUUUGUUAGAUACCCAGGUCUUAGGAGGUAUGUUGGUGGUAUAUGUCUCGAGGACUUGAGAGGAUGUUAAUAUGUCCUCGAGGUAUCUCGAGGACAAAAAUACCUCGAGGUCUUAGGGAGACCCCGAGGACCAUAGCAGAGAGAUGAGAUGGGGUAUAUAUGGAGUCCUCGGGAUGCACUCCUCGGGGUAUAUCAAUAUUGGCAUCGUCACUGGCCCCCGUGCACUCGUCCUACAGAUCGAGCUCUUAGGAUGGGGUGCACAUGCAUUAUGUCAUUUCUCGAAUCGUCGUCGAGAAGUGAUGGCUGAUGAUAUAGGUCGAGAUAUGACCGUUGCAGAGAGUGGCUUGGAUUUGUGACACGUGUCUUCGUGGACGGUCGUAGAUAGCGACCUUUGGCCUCCCAUCGUUUUCACCUAUAAAUACUGUUGUUCUCACCUUUAUUUUUCACUUUUACCCACUAUAAAUCAGAGUUCUGCGAGGUCGUGCUCGAGAGAAACACUUUAGGAACUUCUCAAGUCAUCGGGAACUCCAGGUAAGGCUCGAGACUUUAAGUUAUUCAUAAGCUAGGUCUUAAGUUUGCUAAGUGAUGUCGAGUAGUGAGGGUCAAGAUUCUUCUAGUAGUUCUAGUAGUAGUGAGGACGUAGAGACCUCGAUAAUACCGACGGCUAUUCCCCUAGAGGCUACUCCCGAGGCUCAGGUUAAUAUAGUUUUUGAGUAUCCCGACGAACCCUGCAGGCUUAAUGAGCACUCAGUCAUAGCUGCAGCUAGGGAAUACGGUAUAAUGCCUAAUUGUGAUGUUAGAUUUCCUGACCCCGAGGAUAGGAUUGUUCGAGCACGACGAGGGGAGUUUGUUAUUUUUAGGGAGACCCUUAAGGCUGGCUUUAGGUGGCCCCUUCACCCCUUCUUUAUUGCUCUAUUAGUCGAGCACUCCAUGUGCCCGAGGCAGUUAGUGCCCAAUGCCUGGAGAAUGCUCGUUUAUUUUUUUAUAGCAUGUAGAUACUUAGGUAUCGAGCCCAACGUUGGCCUCAGUAAAUUAGUGUUCGAGCUUAAGAAGCAUCCUCGAUACACUUGUUUUGGCUAUCUCUCGACGAUUGGGGGUUUUAAAGUCCUGAGGAUGGCGAGCUCUUUGAAGGAGUGGAGGGAGGGGUGGUUUUAUGUUAUAGCCCAAGAACCCGACCUUCCUUUCUGGCCUGAUUGGGGAAUCCCCGACGUCGAGAAGUUCUGUGAGGGCCAGGUGUAUCCGGAUGUUUUGGAAGAGCAUAGGAGGAUGCUGGUCGGGCUCAGCCCCCUUUUCUCGACAAUGAAGGAGAUUGGGGAAGAGGUUAUAGACCUGGCAGAUAUUAGAGGAGUCGAGGGUAGGGAUGUUCCUUUAUUAUUAUUAUUAUUUUUUGAAAAAUAGCCUGACCUUGUGCUCGUUCUAAAAUGAUUGUAAAUUUUUGCAGGUAUGUCUUUCAAUCCUCGGGCUCUUCAGAACUUUGUCAGCACAAGGACAGACGCACAUCCACAGGGGCAGCCCCCAAGGAAGAAAGGCAAGAAGAGGCCUCGAGGAACUCCUGAGGGUGUGAGGGGGCCUGCCGAAACUUCUCGAGCAAAUCCUCAAGUCUCGACCCCUCUGCAACCGAACCUUAGAUCUCCCACUCCUCGGAUCGUCACUCCUCGGCCUCCUUCUGAAGUGGUUGACCUUGAGGAUGACCCGUCUCUUACGGGGGACUUUGAGACUUGCCACCUCGCUCCUGAUCUCGUGAACAAAUACAAGGAGGAGGACAAGCUCGAGGAUGGGAUGAAGGUCCUCGAGGGUCUUACAGUGAAGGUAGUCUUCGAACUUUUGACUUUAGCCUCAAGUUUUUUGGUCGAGAUUAAUACUUAACAUUUUCUUCAUUUUUUCCAGAUGUUGAGGGUAGCUCGAGGACUUUCUCUGCAAGGGCUCGAGGAGGCCAAGAGGGCAGCUGGUGUCGAGACGUCCAUGGCCUCCAAGGACAGUAGGAUUCAAGACCUCGAGGCUCAGAUCGAGGUUUUAUUGAAGGAGCGUGAUGACGUGAGGAUGGAGGCUGCAAAGGCCAGGGAUGACCUUGUUGUAGCAAAGGAUGAGGUCGAGGGUGCGAGGCUCGAGCUUAUCCAGAAGACAGAGAAUUUUGAGCGCGAGCUCGCGGCUGUCAGGGAGAGGGCCUGGGACGAGUUUAAAACCUCCGAGGAUUGUGACAAGAUAAAAGGGGAGUACGCAUCGGGGGCGUACUUCCAUGCUCUGAAAGAAGCCCAGGCCUUCCUCCGUCAGAAGUUGCCCGACGUUACUCCGGACGACUUGAAGACAGUGCCUUCCAUUGCUGAUACAUUGGAGCUCUCGGGUUCGGAAGAUGGAGGAGGAUCGGGCGGAGAUGAUGAGGACGGUCUUGAGGACGACGUUGAGAUCAACAUCAGCAACCUCGACCCUCCUCUUGGCCACAUUGGAUGACUUCCCCACCCCGAUCUCUUGUAAUUUUUGUUUAAACUUUGAACAUGUAUUUUGAUCGAGGACUAUGUAUGUUCUAAAGUUAAUUUAUUUGAGCUAUUUAUCUCGACCCCUUAGACUUCAUAUAUUCGAGCAAACAAAUUGGAAAUUAACUGCUCAUGCGACAUUGAAGAGUUUACUCGAGGAUUCCACAACUCGAGCAUAUUUAAGGGAUUAAAAAGUGAUAAUGUGACAUUCUCGAGGACUGUAAACCUCGAGCACAACUAAUCUUAAAAAAUAAUAUGAUAAUGUGACAUUCUCGAGGACUUCUAAACCUCGAGCACAACUAACUUAAAAGUUGGGUUGUGAUAUUCUCGAGGACUUCUAAACCUCGAGCACAACUAACUUAAAAAGCUGGGUUGUGAUAUUCUCGAGGACUGUAAACCUCGAGCACAACUAACUUAAAAAGCUGGGUUGUGAUAUUCUCGAGGACUGUAAACCUCGAGCACAACUAACUUAAAUAGUUGUUAUUUGCUCAUGUGAUAUCCUCGAGGGAUUGUCGAAAAUGAUGUAGGAUUUUUGUAUGUCCCCGGGUGAUACUAUAACGGUUUAUACUUGAGUAUAUGAUCAAGGCUUUUUGUGCUUGUGCAGGGCAAGGCUUUGGUGCUUGCUCGGGGCAAGGCUUUUUGUGCUUGCGCGGGGCAAUGCUUUUUGUGCUUGCGCGGGGCAAGGCUUUGGUGCUUGCACGGGGCAAGGCUUUUUUGAGUGCUUGCUCGAGGCAAGGCUUUGUGCUUGCGCGGGGCAAGGCUUUUUUGAGUGCUUGCUCGGGGCAAGGCUUUUUGUGCUUACGCGGGGCAAGGCUUUGGUGAUUCCUGGGCGCAAAGUAAACUAAAGGGCUGUUAUACCUGAGGUUUGAAUUUACUAAUUUCUCGGACUGGACUUAGAUUUAUAUUGUAUCCAAGCUGUCUACAUACCCAAACGGGAUCAAGCCGAACAUAGUUCAUUAUGAGAGAAAACAGAAAACAUGCUUGGGCACGCAGGCCCACUAAACUAGAGAAAUAAAAUGUAAGGGCGCGCAGGCCCGAGGAACCAAAAAUAAUAUUCAGAAGAAGAAAUGCAGGAAUAAAAAGAAAAUCUCCUAGAUGUUAUCGAGAAUGUUGCUUGAAAUAUAUUUUCAGAUUAUCAGCAUUCCAGGGCCUUGGAAGAGGUGUACCCGAAGUGUCUCUUAGACUGUAUGCUCCCUUGCGAACCUGUCGUUUAACCUCAAAGGGUCCUUCCCAGAUGGGCCCGAGCUUCCCUGGUGGGUGACCUGCAGCUUCGGCCCUCCUCAGGACCAAGUCGCCUGCUCUAAACCUCUGAGUCUUGACUUUGUUAUUAAAAUGUUUUGCUGUCUUAGUUUGGUAAGAGGCCACCUUUAUAGUGGCUUGCUCCCGCACUUCUUCCAAGAGAUCAAGAUGUUCAGUUGUAUGCUCCGAGGUUUCUGGCACGAGCCUCCUAUGGCUCGGGAGUCUAAUUUCCACCGGGACCAUUAAUUCAAUGCCAUAGGCUAACAUAAAGGGGGUUUCUCCUGUGGUUGUUCUAUACGUCCAAAGUAUAGAAGGCAGCUCAUCGGACCAAGAAUCCCUAGCAUUGCCUAUUCUUGUUCGGAGGUCUUGUAAUAUGAUUCGAUUUGUUACCUCGGCCAGACCAUUACUCUGAGGAUGCGAAACUGAUGUCAGACGGUGAUCAAUCCCAAGGUUUGAGCAAAAGUCCCUAAACUGUUGAUUGUCAAAUUGCCUACCAUUGUCGGUGAUGAGGACCUUUGGUAUCCCAAACCUGCAAAUGAUAGAUCUCCAAGUGAAGGCUCUUAGCUUGGGCUCCGAUAUUGUGGCGAGAGGUUCGGCCUCUACCCAUUUUGUGAAGUACUCUACUGCUACAACAACAAACUUUAAUUGACCUCUUGCCACAGGAAAGGGGCCGAGGAUAUCAACUCCCCAUUGUUCAAACGGGGCCGAAUAGUUAAUGUUGGUGAGGUCUUCGGCUGGUGAGUGGAUAACAUUACCAAACCUCUAGCACCUAUCACAUCUUUUAACAUAUUCUGAGGCGUCUUUUUUCAUGGUUGGCCAAUAGUACCCAUAUCGUACGAGCUUAAAGGCCAAGGCCCUGGCUCCUUGAUGAUUCCCGCACACACCUUCAUGAACUUCAGCAAGGGCCUGGGAUGACUCUGAUGGUCUGAGGUACCUUAGGUAUGGAAGAGUAAUACUUCUGCAAAAGAGGACACCGCUGAUCAUGCAGUACCUAGGAGCUCGAGCUCUGAUGCUUCUGGCCAACCUGGCAUCGCUUGGUAGAUUUCCACUUGUGAUGAAUUCUAUAAUUGGGUCCAUCCAGGAUGGUUCGUUGUCAAUGUCCAUGAUGUCGAGGAUUUGACUGAUGCUGAGUUCUGUGAUGAUUUUAAUGUGAACUGUUCUGUCAAGGCCGUCUACCCCCAUGAACACAAGCCUGGAUAAUGCGUCGGCUUUUCCGUUGUCCUUCCGAGCAAUUUUUACAAUUUCACAACUCUUGAAUUUUCGUUGAAGAUCUUGAACCUUCAUACAGUAUAAACUCAUUUUCUCAUCUUUCCUUUCAAAUGAUCCUUCAAUCUGUUCGACCACCAGUUGUGAGUCGCUGAAUAUCUUUACGAACUCAAGCUCGAGGCAAAGGGCUAGCUCCAGAGCAAUAACGACGGCCUCAUACUCGGCCUCGUUGUUGGUUGCUUCAAACUCGAACCUGAGAGCGCAUUGGAUCUCUGUUUGUUUGUCAGGGCUGAUGAUGACGACCCCUGCGCCCGAUCCCGAGGAGUUCGAUGCUCCAUCCACAAAUAUUUGCCAAGUGUCCAAAUUCGUGCUCAUGCUCGAGCUGUCACUUGGCCCCCGAGGCCUAGGGGUUAGUUUUGCAAUUAAGUCGGCUAGUGCUUGGGCUUUGAUAGAUGGGCGUGGUUUGAAUUUUAUGUCAAAUUCUCCAAGCUCGAUUGCCCAUUUCAUCAGUCUUCCCGAUACGUCCGGCUUCUGAAGUAUAUGCCUAUGAGGUUGAUUGGUGAGCACCACAAUAGGGUGAGACUGAAAAUACUGCCGGAGUUUUCGUGCUGCUAUAACCAAGGCAAGGGCAAGUUGUUUCGCCAAAGUAUACCUUGUUUCCGCAUCCAGUAGGACCUUGCUUACAUAGUAGAUAGGUUGUUGGACUUUGUUAACCUCUUUCACCAAGACCCCGCUGACCGCGUUUUGAGAUACGGUCAGGUACAAAAAUAAGGUGUCACCAGGCUCAGGCCUAGUGAGAAUAGGAGGAGAUGCCAAUGUCUGCUUGAGCUACUAAAAAGUUUUCUCACAGUCUUCACUCCAAUCAAAGCCUUGGUUUCCUUUGAGGACUUUGAAGAAGGGAUAGCACCUGUCUGAUGCUCGGAACAUGAACCUGUUCAAGGCUGCUAUCCUACCAGUCAACCUCUGUACCUCUUUCAUUUUCCUUGGUGAUUCCAUAGACGCCAAGACUUGUAUUUUGUCAGGGUUGGCCUCUAUCCCCCGGCGAGUGAUCAUAAAACCCAAGAACUUGCCUGAGGCCACGCCAAAUGCACAUUUUGCGGGGUUCAGCUUCAUUCCGUACUUUCGCAAGGUGUUGAAAACCUCUUCAAGAUCUGAAAUAUGCUGGUCUACCUGUUUGCUCUUGACCACCAUGUCAUCAACGUACGCCUCCACAUUCCUUCCAAUCAAGUUAGCAAAGACUUUGUUGAUGCGCCUUUGGUAUGUUGCCCCUGCAUUCUUCAAACCAAAAGGCAUGACUUUAUAACAGUAUAUGGCGGAAUCGGCCAUGAAUGAUGUCUUUUCUUGAUCUUCCUUGGCCAUGAGGAUUUGAUGAUAACCAGAAAAUACUUCCAAGAAGCUGUACAGCUUAUGUCCAGACGUGCUAUCCACCAAGUUGUCAAUCCACAAUAGGGGGUAACUAUCCUUUGGACAUGCUUUGUUAAGAUUUGUGAAGUCAAUGCAGACCCUCCACUUACCAUUGGCCUUCUUCACUAAAACAACAUUGGCAAGCCAAUCGGGAUAUUGGACCUCCCGAAUGAACUGAGCACUGACGAGUUUGUUAAUUUCUUCGCGAAUGACCUCCCAACGUUCUGGGGCAAACUGUCUUUUCCUCUGCUUUACUGGUCUAGCCCCUGGGCUAAUGUUAAGCCUAUGGACUGCAAUUUUAGGGUCUAUCCCUGACAUAUCCUCAACCUUCCAGGCAAAAAUGUCAAUGUUGCGAGAUAAGCAACCAACAAAUUCUGUCUUUAGGGUGACGUCAAGAUCCCGACCAAUCGUCACUUUCUUACAUGCUCGAGCUCAAUUUCCAUCAAUUCUUCGACAGGAGCAAGUCUGAUUUGUUGCCCAGCCUCGGGGUCAAUCCUCGAGAUUUGCAAAACGUCGUUAUUUAUUUCCCGAACGCUGGCAACAUAGCAUUGUCUAGCAGCUGUCUAGUCACCACGGACGACCCCAACGCCAUUACUUGUUGGAAACUUCAUGGCCAGGUGGAAGGUCGACACAAUGGCUUUAAUCUUGUUCAGGAGUGGUCUUCCCAAAAUAGCGUUAUAGGCCAUUGAGACACGUACCACUUGGAAAGAUGUCAUCUCUGUAACCUGUUUCUGGCCAGAACCCAAAGUUAGAGGAAGCUCGACGACACUCUCUGGAGUGAUGACUCCUCCCCCAAACCCUUGGAGAGGAGUUUUAACCGCUUUGAGCUGCUGAGAUGAGAUUCCCAUUUUGGCAAAAGCUUCUUAUGAAAGUAUAUUGGCUGCACUCCCGUUGUCAACCAAGAUCCUCUUUACUUCAAAAUUGGUCACAAUCGCUGAGAUUACCAAGGCGUCAUCAUGUGGAAGUGAUACGUCUUCUAAGUCCCUGGUCCUAAAAGUAAUAUCCUCCAGGCUUCCGUGAGGCAUCCCAGAGGCCAGGGCAUAUUGUUUUCUUCCACUGUUGGAGUCUCCUCCCGAGGCAAUACCUCCAACGAUGAUAUUGAUGGUUCCAGCAGUGGGUUGACCAUCCCUUUUUGCCUCAGGGGCUUUUUUCCUGCCAGGAUCAUUCCUCGGGCGUUUGUCGUUACCGACGUAGGAGCUCAGGAGUCUUCUUUUAAUAAGGGCUUCAAUCUCCCAUUGCAAGGCCUUACAGUUCUCCGUGGUAUGUCCAUGAUCCCGAUGGAACUCACAGUAUUUGUUCAUGUCCCUGGAUUCGGGUGGUGACCUCAUUCUGACAGGCCAUUUGAGUUCCUUCAUAUCCUUGAUCUCCAUCAAUAUAUUGGUCUUUGACGUAUUUAAACGCGUGAACGGCGUCGGGGGAACCUCCUGUUUCUAUUUUUUCCGAUGUUGUUCUUCACGGGGGUUCGGGUCGUGCUGUCUUUUAUGCUCGACCCUAUCAUGGGAUGGUCCAACCUUUCUCGGUUUCAGUGUUUCCUCCAUAUUUAUGUACUUCUCGGCUCGGGUAAGAAGCUCGGUGACUGUCUUUGGCGGAGUUUUGGAUAAAGACAUCUUGAAAGCCUCGCACUUUAUGGCAUGGUGAGGGCAGAAACUGCUGCAGUUAUGUGUAGGUCCGGAAUCUGAAGUCUUUCCUUGUUGAACCUGGUCAUGAAGUCACGUAGGGUCUCAUUUUGUCCUUGUCUAAGUUGCAUGAGGGAAGCCGCUGUCUUCCUGAUGCGUUUGCUGCUUACGAAGAAAGCAGAGAACUUGUCCGCCAAAUUCGAGAAUGAGGCUAUGGAGUUGGACUCUAAGGUUGAGAACCAAUCCCUAGCAGCAUUCGUCAAAGUCUGCGGGAAGGCCUUGCACAUCACCUUAUCUGGUGCAACCUGUAGAUUCAUGACGUCCGUGUAUACGUUCAGAUGAUUGAUUGGAUCAGUGGUCCCAUCAUAUUCUUUGAUCCUAGGAUACUUAAAUCUGUUUGGUAAGGGGAAUGUUAAUAUCUCGAGAGUAAAGGGAGUGUUGGGACUGAAUCUUGUCGUCCAUUUGUUGCCCUGAAGUAGGCCCGCCGUGAUUCCUUCUUGAAUAAUUCUAGCGAGCUCUCCGAACUCCAUGGUCACUGAUCUCGAGGCCGAGGUCACAUGUGGUAUACCCGAGGCCCCUGCUCCGCCAUUGUCAAGGACAUGUGUUUGAGCUCGAGCUCGAGUAUCAGCCAUAAAACCCCCCUGGGGCGCUGGUGUGGCUGACGGAUGCGAAUUUCUUUGACUUAGCAGCUGAGUCAGUGUGGCGACUUGUUGUCUGAGCUCUUCAAAGGCUCCAGCAGUGACGACUGUCGGCUGGGGCUCUGGCACUUCUGAUGAUUCCUCUUGAGGAACAGGGAUUUCCUCAAGAGGGGGUUGGUUUGGAGCGGAUGAGCUUGCUGGUGGAAGACCUGAACGUGUGUUUACCAUGGCUUUUGGUAGAGCUUCCCACAGACGGCGCCAAUGAUGCUACCAAAAAUCGUACCUGCUGAUUUUUCGAGCUUGAUGAUUCGGGUUGAUCACGAUAGUGGUCUUCCCGUACCUGAAACAAAGGCAACGAGGUAUGUUCUCGUCGUCCCUCCGAUGCUUAAGUCAGAAAGGAAAAUAUAUGCGUGAGGCUAUGUGCCGAAGAACAAUGAAAAACGUACCUGAAUAAUGGCCCAAGGUUCUGCUUUUAUAGGGGUAGGUAGUGUACUCUUAGUAGGAUUGUGCUGGUUGGAUGUUUUUAUCCAAGGGAAUUUCUAUUUAUAAAGAGUGUCCUACUUGUAAUGAAAUUGUUUGACAAGUGGUAUAAGGGUUGAUGUAGAAUCCUUGGGUGUUUAGGUUUGUUUGUUAGAUACCCAGGUCUUAGGAGGUAUAUUGGUGGUAUAUGUCCCGAGGACUAUUCUCGAGGACUUGAGAGGAUGUUAAUAUGUCCUCGAGAUAUCUCGAGGACAAAAAUACCUCGAGGUCUUAGGGAGACCCCGAGGACCAUAGCAGAGAGAUGAGAUGGGGUAUAUAUGGAGUCCUCGGG
rnacentral:lncRNA from 1 species